GCGUGAGACAGAUAAUUCCAGGUGCAGGUGCAAAUGACACUGCAAGACUAGAAGAUCUAAGCCUUAUGAGGCUGAGCAAGUGUAACCACAAUGUCUCAAUGGGGCUGUUUGGCUCUGGCCUAAAGUAAGGAUUGCACAGACAUGGUGCAGGGAAUUUAAACCU
rnacentral:lncRNA from 1 species